rnacentral:rRNA from 1 species
CCAGACUCCUACGGGAGGCAGCAGUGAGGAAUAUUGGUCAAUGGGCGGGAGCCUGAACCAGCCAAGUCGCGUGAGGGAAGACGGUCCUAUGGAUUGUAAACCUCUUUUGUCGGGGAGCAAAGAGGCCUCGUGAGGUCAAAAGCGAGAGUACCCGAAGAAAAAGCAUCGGCUAACUCCGUGCCAGCAGCCGCGGUAAUACGGAGGAUGCGAGCGUUAUCCGGAUUUAUUGGGUUUAAAGGGUGCGCAGGCGGAAGAUCAAGUCAGCGUUAAAAUUGAGAGGCUCACCCUCUGCGAGCCGUUGAAACUGGUUUUCUUGAGUGAGCGAGAAGUAUGCGGAAUGCGUGGUGUAGCGGUGAAAUGCAUAGAUAUCGCGCAGAACUCCGAUUGCGAAGGCAGCGUACCGGCGCCAGACUGACGCUGAGGCACGAAAGCGUGGGGAUCGAACAGGAUUAGAUACCCCGGUA